rnacentral:rRNA from 1 species
CAACAAAUGCCCUGCUUCCAGGAAAAGCCUCUAAGCAUCAGGUAACAUCAAAUCGUACCCCAAACCGACACAGGUGGUCAGGUAGAGAAUACCAAGGCGCUUGAGAGAACUCGGGUGAAGGAACUAGGCAAAAUGGUGCCGUAACUUCGGGAGAAGGCACGCUGAUAUGUAGGUGAAGCGACUUGCUCGUGGAGCUGAAAUCAGUCGAAGAUACCAGCUGGCUGCAACUGUUUAUUAAAAACACAGCACUGUGCAAACACGAAAGUGGACGUAUACGGUGUGACGCCUGCCCGGUGCCGGAAGGUUAAUUGAUGGGGUCAGCGCAAGCGAAGCUCUUGAUCGAAGCCCCGGUAAACGGCGGCCGUAACUAUAACGGUCCUAAGGUAGCGAAAUUCCUUGUCGGGUAAGUUCCGACCUGCACGAAUGGCGUAAUGAUGGCCAGGCUGUCUCCACCCGAGACUCAGUGAAAUUGAACUCGCUGUGAAGAUGCAGUGUACCCGCGGCAAGACGGAAAGACCCCGUGAACCUUUACUAUAGCUUGACACUGAACAUUGAGCCUUGAUGUGUAGGAUAGGUGGGAGGCUUUGAAGUGUGGACGCCAGUCUGCAUGGAGCCGACCUUGAAAUACCACCCUUUAAUGUUUGAUGUUCUAACGUUGACCCGUAAUCCGGGUUGCGGACAGUGUCUGGUGGGUAGUUUGACUGGGGCGGUCUCCUCCUAAAGAGUAACGGAGGAGCACGAAGGUUGGCUAAUCCUGGUCGGACAUCAGGAGGUUAGUGCAAUGGCAUAAGCCAGCUUGACUGCGAGCGUGACGGCGCGAGCAGGUGCGAAAGCAGGUCAUAGUGAUCCGGUGGUUCUGAAUGGAAGGGCCAUCGCUCAACGGAUAAAAGGUACUCCGGGGAUAACAGGCUGAUACCGCCCAAGAGUUCAUAUCGACGGCGGUGUUUGGCACCUCGAUGUCGGCUCAUCACAUCCUGGGGCUGAAGUAGGUCCCAAGGGUAUGGCUGUUCGCCAUUUAAAGUGGUACGCGAGCUGGGUUUAGAACGUCGUGAGACAGUUCGGUCCCUAUCUGCCGUGGGCGCUGGAGAACUGAGGGGGGCUGCUCCUAGUACGAGAGGACCGGAGUGGACGCAUCACUGGUGUUCGGGUUGUCAUGCCAAUGGCACUGCCCGGUAGCUAAAUGCGGAAGAGAUAAGUGCUGAAAGCAUCUAAGCACGAAACUUGCCCCGAGAUGAGUUCUCCCUGACUCCUUGAGAGUCCUGAAGGAACGUUGAAGACGACGACGUUGAUAGGCCGGGUGUGUAAGCGCAGCGAUGCGUUGAGCUAACCGGUACUAAUGAACCGUGAGG